UACGAAGGGGGCUAGCGUUGUUCGGAUUUACUGGGCGUAAAGCGCACGUAGUCGGCUUUGCAAGUCGGGUGUGAAAUCCCCGGGCUCAACCUGGGAACUGCAUCCGAGACUGCAUUGCUAGAGUAUGGGAGAGGGAAGCGGAAUUUCUGGUGUAGCAGUGAAAUGCGUAGAUAUCUGGAGGAACACCGGUGGCGAAGGCGGCAUCCUGGACCGGUAUUGACGCUGAGGCGCGAAAGCUAGGGGAGCAAACGGG
rnacentral:rRNA from 1 species